rnacentral:rRNA from 1 species
AGUGAACGCUGGCGGUAGGCCUAACACAUGCAAGUCGAACGGCAGCACAGUAAGAGCUUGCUCUUACGGGUGGCGAGUGGCGGACGGGUGAGGAAUACAUCGGAAUCUACUUUUUCGUGGGGGAUAACGUAGGGAAACUUACGCUAAUACCGCAUACGACCUACGGGUGAAAGCAGGGGAUCUUCGGACCUUGCGCGAUUGAAUGCGCCGAUGUCGGAUUAGCUAGUUGGCGGGGUAAAGGCCCACCAAGGCGACGAUCCGUAGCUGGUCUGAGAGGAUGAUCAGCCACACUGGAACUGAGACACGGUCCAGACUCCUACGGGAGGCAGCAGUGGGGAAUAUUGGACAAUGGGCGCAAGCUUGAUCCAGCCAUACCGCGUGGGUGAAGAAGGCCUUCGGGUUGUAAAGCCCUUUUGUUGGGAAAGAAAAGCAGCAGGUUAAUACCCCGCUGUUCUGACGGUACCCAAAGAAUAAGCACCGGCUAACUUCGUG